AUUGAACGCUGGCGGCAUGCCUUACACAUGCAAGUCGAACGGUAACAGAUCUUCGGAUGCUGACGAGUGGCGAACGGGUGAGUAAUACAUCGGAACGUGCCUAGUAGUGGGGGAUAACUACUCGAAAGAGUGGCUAAUACCGCAUGAGAUCUACGGAUGAAAGCAGGGGAUUGCAAGACCUUGUGCUACUAGAGCGGCCGAUGGCAGAUUAGGUAGUUGGUGGGAUAAAAGCUUACCAAGCCGACGAUCUGUAGCUGGUCUGAGAGGACGAUCAGCCACACUGGGACUGAGACACGGCCCAGACUCCUACGGGAGGCAGCAGUGGGGAAUUGUGGACAAUGGGCGCAAGCCUGAUCCAGCAAUGCCGCGUGCAGGAUGAAGGCCUUCGGGUUGUAAACUGCUUUUGUACGGAACGAAAAGCCCUGGGUUAAUACCCUGGGGUCAUGACGGUACCGUAAGAAUAAGCACCGGCUAACUACGUGCCAGCCGCCGCGGUAAGAC
rnacentral:rRNA from 1 species